GCCUGGGUGGCUCAAUUGGUUGAGCGUCCGACUUCGGCUCAGGUCACGAUCUCGCGGUCCGUGAGUUCGAGCCCCACGUCGGGCU
rfam:Felis catus isolate Cinnamon breed Abyssinian chromosome X, whole genome shotgun sequence.